GAGGAGGAUGAGGGAUGAAGGUCCCUUGUGUAAUUUCUAAUUAUGGAUAUUCAAGGCUGCUUCUAUAGAGUUUAUAUUUGGUGGCUUCAAACAUGACUAUAUACCUUAUUUGUUGUAAUUGGUUGUUAGAUGAUUUUUUAAUUACUCUUGCACGGUGUACCCUUUGUUGGUUUUGAGGAUCCUUUACUUCAGGUGCUGUCGCAUUAGGCUUGUUUGAAUUGACAUAAUAUUGCAAAUCAUUCAUACAAUUUAGAAAGCUAAUAUUGACUUGUGCAGUUUCUGAAC
rnacentral:lncRNA from 1 species